rnacentral:lncRNA from 1 species
UGACUCUUGCAGAGAUGGCCUGGUGUUCCACUUUAUUUGUGGGAUACCCCCUGGAGGUUUAUUCCGAUUACCUGUGCUUAAUGGCUUGAGAUAUUUGUUUGUGACUGCUUAUUCCAAAGGAUGAGAGCUACUUGAAUCAUCAAUAUGAUCUCAAGAGGGGAACUCCUAAUGUGGUUUUAUUUUCUUUUCCCUUAUCUCUUGUAUGUUUAGGAAUUUAACCCUUUU